AGACCGAUAGCGAACAAGUAGAGUGAUCGAAAGAUGAAAAGCACUUUGGAAAGAGAGUCAAACAGCACGUGAAAUUGUUGAAAGGGAAGCGCUUGCAGCCAGACUUGCUUGCAGUUGCUCAUCCGGGCUUUUGCCCGGUGCACUCUUCUGCAGGCAGGCCAGCAUCAGUUUGGGCGGUGGGAUAAAGGUCUCUGACACGUACCACCUUUCGGGGUGAACAUAUAGGGGAGAUGACAUACCACCAGCCUGGACUGAGGUCCGCGCAUCUGCUAGGAUGCUGGCGUAAUGGCUGUAAGCGGCCCGUCUUGAAACACGGACCAAG
rnacentral:rRNA from 1 species